AUGGCGACGUAUGAUGCCAUGAGUGACUUGUGCCACCAUAUUGAGAGUGAGAGUGACUUCACCACUAGCCCCACAUAUGAUGUGUUGCCCCAAUUCCCAUGUGAGGAGAGCCACAGCCCCCACAACUUUAGCGAGAUGAGUGACUCCACCAUAUGUGACUUUGAGUGCACCUAUUUUGAGGGAGUGAGUGAACCACCACAUAGAGAGAGAGUGAUAGUUGAUAGGUCUCGUGAGGCCAUUUGCAUUUCUAACAACUUGACCUCUACCUUUAUUGUGUCUUCUCAUUUUGUGCUAGGUCCCAUUUAUGAUGACAUGCCGAUCCUCUAUGACUUCGUCCUUCCUUUGGACACGACGAUGGCCAUGGUGGAAUAUGAUGCACCCCCAACAUGCUUCCAUCAAGAUGAAGAUGACCAACAUUUGGUCUUUCCCACCUCACCUACACCACAUGAGUGGAAUGACAACGGUAACAUAGGUGACGGUGAUGCUCUAGUCCCAUUAGUGGAAAUUCUUGACACUGAUUGCUUGCAUGAAGUUGAUCCACCUAGUACCAUGCUUCAUGCUAGUAUGAUUUCCCCAUGCGAUGAUUUGCCCAUUUAUGAUGAGUAUGAUGAUUCUCAUGUGGAGUCUAUUAGUUGUGAUGCCAUGUUACAUAGGAUUUCCUGUGACAAUUCUUUAGGUCACAUCAUGUUUGAUAAUCCGCUUGACUUGUCAUAUGCCAUGCAUGAGAUCAACCAUAUGUCUUAUUUGCAAUCUCAUCGUAGUGACUAUGCAUAUUCCAUUAAAAUAAACCCAAUUUACACAUAUGACAUAGAUGACAAGCCCAUGGUUAUUGGCAUUUGUUUUUCUUGUGAUGAUAUUGAUAUGCUCCCUUUGCAUCAUUUAUCUCAUAUGCCAUGCCAUGACCACCUAACUUCGGAUAUGCAUUGUUUUGGAUGUUGUCCAUUUUCUCAAUAUGAUAUUUCCGCUAUUGCUCAUGAGGAUACCCCCAUAGUUUCCUCGUACAUUUUUUGA
rnacentral:rRNA from 1 species